AAUAUGUUGUGAUUUGAAAGCUCAGAUCUACUAAUAGAAUCUUAUUUGAAAGACCCCUGGAGCGGGGAGACCCUCACUCAAGUCUCGGGAUGACAUGACCCCCCCAAGAACUCACACAAGACC
rnacentral:pre_miRNA from 14 species